GUCUUCAAAGACAAAAAAAAAAUAUUUUAUAUGUGUGGGUGUUUUGUUUGUACAUAUAUUUACGGGCCACUUGCAUCAGAAGCCAGAAGAUGGCAUCAGAUCCUCUGGAACUGAAGUAUUGGAUGGUUGUGAGACACGGUAUGGGCUCUAGGAACGGAAUCAGGGUCCUCUGGAACAGCAGCCAGCUUCCCUAACUGCUGAAGCAUCUCUCUGGCUUAUGUAACCACAUGCAGAGACUCUGUAUCUAAACUCUGCAGCUUCUUUAAAUAUUUUGUAGCCAUUUGGUCACUUACCUAUCUACAUGUGCAUAAUGAACACACACACACACACACACACACACACACACACAGUGACAUGUAACCUGAAACUCAAAGUUAUUAUCUAAGACUAAAGUAAGAAGAUAAACCUUGCUUGCCAACAGCCAGGCCAUCAAAGGAAACUCAAAUUACUUGUAAAUUGUCGAAAACCAAAGUAACUUUUGAAUUUACUGUUACCUGAUACAUUCUGACAUCGUGGAAAGACACAAGAGUGUGCUAUGUUUCUGACACUCUGUAUUCACAACACCUGCCCAGAGUAGAGUAGAUCAAACCUGCCGGGGUCAACUAAACAUGCCCACUGUCUCCUAGGUCAACUAAACAUGCCCACUGUCUCCUAGGUCAACCAAACAUGCCAAACACUGUCCCCUAGGUCAACCAAACAUGGCAAACACUGUCCCCUAGGUCAACUAAGCACAUUCACACACUUCACCUUCUAUACAGGCUUGCUGGAGUUCCUGCCAAGCCAGAAACAGGUGUUUUUCUUUUUUUUUAAUGUGGUUCUCUACAAGAUUACUGCUUGUCAUGAGGCCCUUGGCACUCCUAAUGCCUCCCCUAAUUCCUUAGUCACCUAGAGUCACCCAAAAUGGGUUGGGAGAGCAACUGUUUCUUCUCUUCAGGGUCCAGGACAUCCUCAUGUAGCUAAAUCUCUAAUGAGACAACUGCCAUCAAGCCUACCGUUAUAGACCGACAGAUAAAUAUGCACAUGAUAUAUGGAAAUAACGCUGAUUCAGAGUCCAUGCUUAGACAAACUCCUUUUGUCUGUUGCUAAGUCCUUGCAAGGCUUAGAUCCUGGAAUCCUGACUAGGGCCAGUGAGGAAGAAAUGACAAAUACAUUAGCACACAGACAAGCUGGGCUCAGGUGGUCUUCACUCUGUAAUAGAAAAGCCACAGCACUGCAGAAUCCCGGUGUGAUUAUGGCAUAUAGUUGAACAAGGGAGGCAGGGUCAUUGUAUACAGCUGAACCGGGAGGCCGGUUUAGCCUAUCUCUAUAGGAGAUCGGUCGUAACAGGGUGUGGGUGCAGAAAGCUACAGAGGACAUUUUCUGCAAACACUGUCAACAUUCCAAUCAGACCAGGGCUGAGGCAUCGGGGGUCCUUGAUAUGUCCAUGUCAACAACCCACAUUCACUAGGGACUUCUCUCACUCCCUAUAAUCCACAAGUUCGUAAAUGGAGGACCAAGCAGCUGCAGUUCUCCUUUAGGGGUACCAUGGUAGCACAUUCAGCAUUUCCCAUGGCUCUAGACCCUUAAGGUACCUUGAGCCUUCUUACCUAAGCCUAAAAUAGUGUGAAAAGCCCAUAUAGCAAAAAAUAAAAUAAAAAACAGGCAUGGUCCCUACAAAAUUUCAAGUUUCCCUGCCAGGGGCUGGAGAGAUGACUCAGCAGUUAGGAGGACUGGCUGCUCCCGAAGAACACUUGAGUUCAAUCCCAGCACCCACCUGGUGGUUCACAACCAUCUGUAACUCCAAUGCCAGGGGAUCUUGUGCCCUCUUCUGGCCACUGUAGGCACUGCAGAAAUAUGAUGCACAGCAAACAAAAUAAGAACACUCAAAAAUAAAAAUAAAUCUUGCUUACCUGCAAAAAACCAAUUGGCGUAAUCGUAUAAUAUCCCAGAAGAACUCAAAGAAACAAUAAAAGCAAGGUCCAAAAUACUCUGUUGGGAAAGGGCUGGUGGAGAUCUCUAAGGCCUUGGAAGGCAGGUACUGGUCUCUGCCUGGAGAUUAGGCUGGGGUCUGCUCACCUGUUGAGUGGCUAUGUUCAUGAGAUUCAAAUUAUGUAACAAGGGCUGAGGAAAUGGUCCAAUCUGUUCACUGCUUUUCAAGUAUGAGUUCUGAAGUUUGAUUCCCAGACUCUGUGUAAAAGAAAUUAGG
ensembl:lncRNA